GAUGAACGCUGGCGGCGUGCUUAACACAUGCAAGUCGAACGGGAAUUCUUUUAUUGAAACUUCGGUCGAUUUAAUUUAAUUCUAGUGGCGGACGGGUGAGUAACGCGUGGGUAACCUGCCUUAUACAGGGGGAUAACAGUCAGAAAUGGCUGCUAAUACCGCAUAAGCGCACAGAGCUGCAUGGCUCAGUGUGAAAAACUCCGGUGGUAUAAGAUGGACCCGCGUUGGAUUAGCUGGUUGGUGGGGUAACGGCCCACCAAGGCGACGAUCCAUAGCCGGCCUGAGAGGGUGAACGGCCACAUUGGGACUGAGACACGGCCCAGACUCCUACGGGAGGCAGCAGUGGGGAAUAUUGCACAAUGGGGGAAACCCUGAUGCAGCGACGCCGCGUGAAGGAAGAAGUAUCUCGGUAUGUAAACUUCUACCAGCAGGGAAGAUAGUGACGGUACCUGACGAAGAAGCCCCGGCUAACUACGUG
rnacentral:rRNA from 1 species